rnacentral:rRNA from 1 species
AUUGAACGCUGGCGGCAGGCUUAACACAUGCAAGUCGAGCGGAUGACGGGAGCUUGUUCCUUGAUUCAGCGGCGGACGGGUGAGUAAUGCCUAGGAAUCUGCCUGGUAGUGGGGGACAACGUUUCGGAGGGAACGCUAAUACCGCAUACGCCCUACGGCAGAAAGCAGGGGACCUUCGGGCCUGGCGCUAUCAGAUGAGCCUAGGUCGGAUUAGCUAGGUGGUGAGGUAAUGGCUCACCAAGGCGAGGAUCCGUAACUGGUGUGAGAGGAGGAUCAAUCACACUGGAACUGAGACACGGUCCAGACUCCUACGGGGGGCAGCAGUGGGGGAUAUUGGACAAUGGGCGAAAGCCUGAUCCAGCCAUGCCGCGUGUGUGAAGAAGGUCUUCGGAUUGUAAAGCACUUUAAGUUGGGAGGAAGGGCAGUAAGUUAAUACCUUGCUGUUUUGACGUUACCAACAGAAUAAGCACCGGCUAACUCUGUGCCAGCCGCCGCGGUAACAC